GGGAAACACAGUGAGAGCUUGGGUGGCACUGCAGGCACAGCCCACGGUGUGCCCAGGAGCUGUGCAAGGUCAGCAGGGCCCAGGCACUGGAACUGGCACCAAGGCAGAGCGAGGCAGCUGGGCACAAAUGUGCCAGGGAACUGUGGGCAGGUUUCCUUCACUCUGUCAUCACCACAGUUUUGCUCCUCACAUCUCUGUCUCCCAACCAGCUGAAUCACUGAACCAAACUGGGUGAGACAAACAGAACCAGGUGUCCACACAAUUCCCUGAGGAGAUGUCCUUGUAAUGCCCUGAAGGAGAGAAACUGAGCUGCACUGGGAGGUUCCAUUCUUCCAGGGGCACUGAUGCACAGAAAACCCACAAAGGCCCAGAAGGGAACCCAGGCACUGCUGGUUUCUAAAUUUAUGGGCAGUGCAAGCCACUGUCACAAAACCUCUGUCAAAGACCAGGCACGACACAGCCCUGAAAAAUCAGGAUACUCAUGGCACCUAUCCAGCCUUCCCUGGGAGUUUUGGAUGACUGAGUUGAACGAAUGAAUGAGCAGGCAGCUGGAACAAUUUUCUCUGGUGCUGCAAUUUGUAUGAUCUGAGUUUUUGUAGACUCUGCACGUUCAAGGAGGGCUGGAACAAGAGAGACAUUUAGUGAUGAGAACCUCAGUGUGGGAAAUACAUUUGAAAUGUCCAGCUCCACUUGUGCCUGCUGCACAUCAGCCUCUCUUGUGUGAAGCUGGACUGCAUUUCUUGCAGCUGCAGAUGGGAAUGACUCAGGGCAGAGCUGUCCCAGCUCCCUGUCCAGCAAGGACACUGCUCUGGGUGAUCAGAUCUGAAAUGUGAAUUAUUGGGACAUGCAGUCACUGCCAGCCCAGUGCUGGAGGAUCCUGAUUGCUGAUUGCCAGCAGGGAAAAGGAGUCACAGCAGGGCCCUCAGCACGCAGGGAUCCAUCCUGUUCCUGUGAGGGGAACCUGCUGUGAUGCUGCCCACGGAAAUCAUCAGCCCCACCAGGGUUCCCUAAACAUCAGGGAUUGAGUUAGGGCUUAUUAAAUGUGGUGCUGUCUCACUGCAAUACUGAAAGAUAAAAUAAAUAAAACUGUGCAACAGGAGAAGAACAAAGAUUCCUCUGCAGGCCAUGGUGAGACCAGGGUGAGGCAGCUGUGACCCUGCAGCCCCUGGGGAUCCCUGGGGAUGCAGAGAUACCCCCACAGCCCCUGGGGAUCCCUGGGGAUGCAGAGAUCCCCCCACAGCCCCUGGGGAUCCCUGGGGAUGCAGAGGAGCGCGGGGUGUUCGGAACCGGGGCUGGAGACGGGCGGGGCAGCGGCACCUCCGGGGCCGGGAUGGGAAGGGACCGGGGAUGAGGGGAGGAGCGGGACCGGGCCCGGACCGGGAUCGGGACGCGGAGCCGGAGCGGGCCCGGGCCGGGAUCGGGACGCGGAGCCGGAGCGGGCCCGGGCCGGGAUCGGGACGCGGAGCCGCAGCGGGCCCGGGCCGGGAUCGGGACGCGGAGCCGGAGCGGGCCCGGGCCGGGCGCUCCCGGCAGGACCCGCGGCCGCUGUGCCGGGAGCGCAGGCGCGGAGCGGGAGCGGCAAUGGCGGAGCCCGGGGAGCAGCAGGGCCGGGCCGGGGACAGCGGGGGAGACUGCGGCGGGCUCGGAGAAUCCUCUGGGGCUGACACAAAGACCAGGAACCUUUGAGAUGGAAAGAGCCGGAGCAAGUUGAUGUGAGAAAGGAAAAUUAAAGAUGGGAAACGUUCAGGCAAGAGGUGCCGAAAAGAACCGGAGUUUCUGAUCUGAAGUCUCCAACUGAAAAUCCCCUGUGGAUUGUCACCGGUCCAGUUUUCAUGGACUGCUCACCUUGGCCAGGAGUGUCCAAUCCUGCUGGAAAUGCACUGCACCAGGAUGGCAUUUUCGUUUCGUGCUGGUGAAGACCCUCUGGGUGACCCCCAGGCACUGGAAGGGCUGGCCUGGGCUCCCAGGGCACUAAUUCCAGGAAUUGUGUUUUUGGGAACAGCACAGGAGCCUUUCCCUUGCCCAGAGGAGCAGCCAGAGCCUCCCUUCAUUCACAGAUUCCCAGGAUGGAACACAAGGAAAGGAACAGCAAUGUGGAAAUGCCCCACACUGGGAGCUGAUGGUGCUCUGGAUCACAUUUUGGAUUUCUAAUGUCAAAGGGGCAGUGUGGAGGGGUUUUUCUCUCUGCUGUUCAUUGCUGUACUCACUGCCCUUGUUGCUCUCACUGUUACUGUGUGUUGCCAUUACUAUUAAAUUAAAUUAAAUUUGCCUUGGUUUCCAUUAUUAUUAAACUGUUCUGAGCUGGG